ACGAACGCUGGCGGCAUGCCUAACACAUGCAAGUCGAACGAACCCUUCGGGGUUAGUGGCGCACGGGUGCGUAACGCGUGGGAAUCUGCCCUUUGGUUCGGAAUAACAGUUAGAAAUGACUGCUAAUACCGGAUGAUGACUUCGGUCCAAAGAUUUAUCGCCAGAGGAUGAGCCCGCGUAGGAUUAGGUAGUUGGUGGGGUAAAGGCCUACCAAGCCGACGAUCCUUAGCUGGUCUGAGAGGAUGAUCAGCCACACUGGGACUGAGACACGGCCCAGACUCCUACGGGAGGCAGCAGUGGGGAAUAUUGGACAAUGGGCGCAAGCCUGAUCCAGCAAUGCCGCGUGAGUGAUGAAGGCCUUCGGGUCGUAAAGCUCUUUUACCCGGGAUGAUAAUGACAGUACCGGGAGAAUAAGCUCCGGCUAACUCCGU
rnacentral:rRNA from 1 species